UUGCUUUAGUACAUAGGUAUUCCAGUAAGUUCAAUUAUUAUUCUUACUUUUGAUGCUUAAUUGGCUCUCCUUAGGUUAAUCAGAAGGGGAAAAAAAUGCUAUUUCGAUUCUUCUGGGAAUGUUUUUCUGUAUAUUUUUUUUCACUCCUGUUCUGUCAGUCUAUGCUUGCAUUCAUAUUCUGUGUAUUCCUGUGGUGGGUGUAUAUGUACCACUGGAAGAUGAUACCUCUCUAAUAAAAAUAAAAUUGGUACAGUAACUCUGAGAUCUUAUUUUAUUAAACCUGUUACAGAAAGUACCAGCUAUGUGCAAAGAAGAAAGUAAUAUGGAGGAACUGUUUUAAUGCUGCAUCAGAGGGGAAAAGAGGACUACAAUGAUGCAGAAAAUCACUGAAAUAGGAGUAAUGGUGAAGAAGAACAGAACUGUGGAAAUGUCACCAUGGCUGUUGGGUGCAUUGAGCUGAGGCCCACUGACUCCUGGGCGCUUUGGUUAACAAAGCAGAAGUUCUACAGCAACCUUCCUUACUCACAAUAAAAUGCUCCAGGAGAUGGAAUGCUGCAUUGUGAAAACCAGCAAAUAUGAAAACCAUUUGUGAAAGGGCUCUGCAGAAGCACACAGUGAAUUGUCACUGAUGUUGAACAUAAAUGGAAUUCAGUCAAGUUUCAACUUUAAACACUGGGUCUGAGGAGACUUCUUAAUCGUUUCUUUCUACCUCAGAAGACACAAAGUUCCUUGUUGCAAUGUUUUCUGUUGGUGACUGGGGCUAAUGAGGAGAUGUAAAACUACAGUGAACCCAGUGACUGUUUCAAAUCCCGGCCUAGGAACUACCACUGACUCAUAAUCCAGAUCCUAAAGUACUUCCAGUAAUACAAAGACUUUGUACCCAGUGUUUGGCUUCUGUGGGAAUGGCCUGAGGUUUUCUGAAGACAAGACACACCCUAUCCCAUGGUCUGAAACCACACUUCGCAGAGAAUAAGCUGAUUGCAUGAGAAAAAUCUGAAUCUGGGGAAGACUCAGAAGCCUUGGCUGAGGAUCAGGUUGACUGUGACUGAGGAUAAGUCACCUAGGGCAGACCUUCACAGGGAUCUGCCUGCCAGAAAAGCAGUAUUUUGAACAUCUCGGCCACAGUGUCUCUGUAUGAAUUCUAUAAUGACAUCUUUGGAUAAAUAAACGAAGGACCAGCUGAAUUAAGAUUGUUUCAAUUCAUGUCCUAUCUCAAGCAAAAGGCUUUGUCUGAAGCUGUCAUGACGUCACUAGCUGAGACUGCCAGAGGACUUUUGUUGGACCUGAACUUCUCCAUAGUGGAAAUAGCUCCUGACCACAGAAUCACAGCAGUACAAGAGCAGAGCAGUUUUACUGUCUUAUCUCCUCUGCAGGCAAACAUUCUUCCUCCUACAGAUCACCAUAAGGGUAACAAAACUUUAUCAGCAUGACUAACAUCACAGUGCCUUGAUCCACUUAACGGUAUAGAUAUAUUUUGUACCAGCCCAUUGGAACAUAGAAUUUUCUAAAAAUUAAAGCAAGUUUUGAUCAUGCAGUGCUCUACCAAGCAGAGUUAGAACCACCCAUGGCUUUGCUCUUGCCUUAUAGGUCUCAUCUGCCCAUGUGCUUGUUAAUACUUUUUGUCACUCUUGUGACAGAUGACUUCUAUUGAGUCUGUUUGGAGGAAGUCUUGCCCAUCUCAGUCUUCCAUUUAGACCAGUAAAAGUUUUGCUGUUAUUUUCACUGAUUUAGGCUCCUGGUAUCAAAUACAUCUAUAUGAAAAACAGAGACAAAAAUUUGAACUUCAGAUUCUUGGCUGAAAUAACAGAGCACAACUUCCUUAAUUUGUACCAUCUGCUCAUAUAGGCUGUGCUUGUCAGGUCAAAAGCUUUCUGAGUCAUUCAUCCAGUAGCAGGACUUCUGGAAAAUUGAGUGAGAGUGGAAAAUGGUGCUCAUGAAAAAUAGAUUUUGUAUUAUAACUAAUCUCCUAAGCUAUUAGUUUGAUGGAAUAAAGUUUUCUGUUGUUUUAUUUCUAAAUCUAUCUGAAAUAUCAAGGUUUGGAAAUCUGAGGCUUUGAUUUGAAAUCAUCUGUAAUCAACAAGCAGGAUGUCUGAAGUACUUGAGAAUAUGUGUACACCAAUAACUGCACUUUACAGGCAAAAAUCAAUUUGACAAUAGAAAGAGUAGAUAGCAAGAUACUACCUUGACAGAGAAUUUUGAUACAAUAUCUAGUUCAAUUGUCAAAAAUUAUUGAAACAUGAUUCAUAGAAGCUUCACAAAGGUGCCUCUAAUGCACCCCAGAACUUAAUUCUGCUCCAGAUAUUUGGACCACACUGGUGCUCUCACAAGAAGAUUGGUACCUCUUGGAUGACAUAUACCAUAGGAUGGACACACUUUUUGAGUCUGGUUUGCAUGCCACAGCAAGGCCCUCAUUUGAAGAUCUGCACAAGAGGAAAAGAUAGCAUGGGAUGGAGUAUCCAGAAGUAACCUGAGCUUUAGUUACAUUUUUGGAAAUGUAGGUGAGAGAUCAGAUUUACCUAUCCAUGUAACCCAUGUCUCUCUGAACAAAACAUAAAGCACUAUCAAUUUGCACUUUUAUAUCACUUCCAGUGAAAAGAAAACAGUUACAGAAAUCUUCUGCCUGUUUACACAAUGUCUUUCUGAAGAACUAGGAACCAGGGAGUUAAUGAUAAUGUAAGCUUCCCUGAAACUGGAGAUUAGGACAAGAGAUAUACACCAGGUGCCUAAGAGGCCAAAGGAUGCUGAUUUCUAAGCUGGAGGCUGGGCUUUAGCUCUUCUCUCAGCUAAAUCUGAAGACCUUAGUAGUUACAGUAGUCAGGGUGGCUACAGACUCUCCCUUCCUGCAGAGAUCCUCUGUUAGUAUUGAGUUUUCUUUAAAUAUUCCUAUAAAUAUUCCAUGCCCUGCUACUUCCAGCUUUAGGAUUAGUCUUCACCAGCAGUUUUUACACUCUAUCUGAGGGUACACGCAGAGCAGCUCCUGGGUUUUGGUGAUGUUUUGAUGUGGAGCCAUUUUGCUAAGAUAAAAUGUUAUUUACUUCAUCAAAAUUUUUUUAAACUUAGUACAAAAGAAGAAAACUUGGUUAUGAGAGAAAAGCUAUAGAGAGCUUUCUUUUUUUAUUAAUGGAUUUGUCACUGUCACUAGAUGUGUUUUAACUUAUUUAAGAAGAGCUUCCUGUCUUGUAGCACAUAGCUUAUAAUUAGUCUGUAAUAUAGAUGGUCUCAAAAGAAGGGAUUGAGUUGGUUUAAGUUACAGUAGCUAACACAAUAGUAUUCAUCUCCCAGCUGCUAAUUAAUCUGUUCAGCUAUCUGUACCUUCCUUUCCUUACUCAUUACUUAGAGAGAAGGUCCUUUUUUUUCCCCUUCUUAGUUGAACUGUAAUCUUUCAGGAAUUAGCUGUAUUGACUUAAUUCUACUGAAGUUUGUUCAAGUCCUCUAAAGGUGCCGCAUGGAGGAGGAGGAGGAGGAGAGACAUUUAUCUUCCAUUUCCUCAUUUCAGCUGCUGCUGGAAUAGCUGCUCUGUGUGGUGUUUCAUUUUCCCUUCUUUGGUGGGACCAAGCCCCUUAGUCCAUUACAAUGCCCAGCAGCUCCAGCCAGGCCCGAGGGUGUUUUUGUGUGCUGAACUGCCCAGAAGCCCCCUACACCUACACAGGGUAUCCUGGAUAUGACAGAGGAUAAUGUGGGAAAGGUUCACAGCUGCACCUCUGCAGUUUGGUGAGCUGCCUCAAAAUAGCUGCUACAUGGGGACUACACUCCACCUUCCACCCACAGCUGCCCCCAGAGUGCUGUGUGAGAGCACAGGGGGGGCACUGGGAGCCUGUGCCUGCCCCAGCUGAGCUCAGGGACAAAGGACCUUGUGCAGCUGCGAGGGCUCCUGCUCCGAUCCCAGUCCUCGCAGUGACUGCCAUCCCUGCCGCAUCACCCCCUCGCCACGGGCAUAUGCUCGCCUUUGUGCUAUGUCAAAAUAUGUUUAAAGCCCAUUUCAGCAGCAAGCUCCCUGAGUUUCCCUGCCAGGAGAUGUUAAUUACUGUGGCGCAGUCUUUGGUUUUCUGUGGCACAGUAACAAUUAAUUUACACCAUUGGAAAAACACUUACACUUUUUUUAUUAAAUAUCAAUAAAACCAAAUCAAUAGAGCGUAAAGUAUACAAUAUCAAAAUUAAAAGCUCUUGUUUUUAUACUUGAGCAUCCCUAAUAAAAUUCCACUGUUGAUUCAA